GGACUUUUGAGGUACAGUACAGUGGGCAUUACAUGAGGUUUUAGCAUUUUAUGGGCAUCUGGAGUAAAGUGGGGUUUAGCAUCUUGGAGAAGUAUUAAAAGUACUCCGAGAUGCUGAGGUUUGAUCUUUUGUUCUUAUGAUUCUAGGAGGAAACGGUUUGCUUUAUCUUUUUCUAAAGAACUUGGUUCAUUUUCUCUUAUGCUUUUCCCCACUCAUUGGGCACUUUUCUUCAGCUGCCUUGGCCGCUCUAAUGCAGGCGUAAAGAAGGGAUCUAAAUUGCUGUUGUUCUGUUUAACAACUGAGGGGAUGUUGCAGCUGGCUUCCAAACUGCAGUGUAAAUCUAUUUACAGGCCCUCAAAUUGUAAUCUUGCACUUAAACCCAGAACAUAGCCUUGCACUUAGCCAUGUUUUCAGAGACUUGGGCAGUGUAAAAGUGAUGCUGCUUCACUCGGUCCAUCCUCUCGUGUAUUCCUUGGGUAGUUGGUACAGGGACAAGUUGAUUUCUGUUUCAACUUGCACCACAAAAAUCCAGUUCAAAAUGCAGAAUGGUGCAAAUAGCAGACGAAGGAGGAAAUGUCUUGAAUGUAUUUUAUGGGCACGACAUGAAAUGUGACUGUACUUGCUUGAUGUUCACUGUCACAAGAAGAUGAAUUUCUGUGAUAAGCUUUACUGAACCACUCGUCAGAGAGUGCUUUGGUUUAAGUGGGCUUCAGUUUCCCUUGUCUGACUGAGAACUUGCACGUGGCAGCGUAUCUUGAGAUCACAUUUUGAUUUUGUAGCUACUUUUCUUUCUAUAUGGAAACACAAAAGCCUCAUUUAAUGCUCUUAGAUGUUUGAGGGUAAACUCCAGGAUUUCUGGGUUGUCCUUCAGCGUGAAUGUAAAUCGAUGGCAGAAUUCAGCUGUUCAGCUUACUAUUAACAAUGAGAGGUUAUCAAAAUGACACCGGUAACUCAGAUAAUGAUAUGUUUCAGAAGAUACAACUUGUUGCAAAGAAUGUCUGUUUUAAUUCUAGCAGGUGCCUGUUGUGUGCCAGCGGGUUCUCAACACUGCUGCGAGCUCGCUCAGGGUGCUGAGUGAGUUUUCUCAUUGCAUCUGACCCAAGUCACUUGCAAGCGUGGAGUUUUAAAGCCAAGAAACUUGAACUGCUGGGAAUUCAAAUCUGCCCCAAACCAAAAAAA
rnacentral:lncRNA from 1 species